rnacentral:rRNA from 1 species
CCUACGGGUGGCAGCAGUGAGGAAUAUUGGUCAAUGGGCGCGAGCCUGAACCAGCCAAGUCGCGUGAGGGAAGACGGCCCUAUGGAUUGUAAACCUCUUUUGUCGGGGAGUAAAACACGCCACGUGUGGCGUUCCGAGAGUACUUGAAGAAAAAGCAUCGGCUAACUCCGUGCCAGCAGCCGCGGUAAUACGGAGGAUGCGAGCGUUAUCCGGAUUUAUUGGGUUUAAAGGGUGGGCAGGCGGAAUAUAAAGUCAGCGGUAAAAUUGGGGGGCUCAACCUUAUCGAGCCGUUGAGACUGGUAUUCUUGAGUGAGCGAGAAGUAGGCGGAAUGCGUGGUGUAGCGGUGAAAUGCAUAGAUAUCACGCAGAACUCCGAUUGCGAAGGCAGCAUACCGACG